UGCAGUGAAAAUUCUUGGAUGCAUCAAAUGACUACUACACCUCUGCUGUUUUACGUUCUGUUCUGGACAGCAACCAAAGGAUGUACACAGUAAAAUCUGAAAAAGAAUGAAAAAGAGUGAAGAGCAAAUAUUCUACACCUAUUCAGGUUGGACCAUGUGGGACCCAGCCUUGUCCUGCUGUCACCCCUAGAAGUCCUCCCUGUGAACCCCAACCGUCUCUUACCCGUGCUGACUCUCAAAUCAAGGCCCCGGAUUCCCAAGUGCCGUGUUCCUAAUCCCAUUGAGCAGCACUGGAUUACGGUGAAGAAAGCGGCCAGUUGCCUCGUGAAGUGACUGAGACAUGCCAGCUGAAAGGAGAGCACACUGCAGUGGAUCAGGGCCAGGCUCACAAUGCCAGGGCCCUGUGUGUGUCCGCAUGUACGCCUCUGUCAGAGCAAGCUACAAACACUGAGGAGAGGCACCAUCGGCGUCCAUUUUUCUACUCUGUGACCAAUGGGGAUAUAGCCUACUGCGUCCUCUGAGAUAGGAUCUCAACCUUUUGACCUGUGUCAUCAUUUUCUUGUAAAUCGGUGAUGUCUGUGGAGAUAGGUGGGUUUCUGUCCUUCAUUUCAAAUCAGGUCUUGCACAGAACCUUUCACUGUGUAGGAACUUGACUAAUCGAAUGUGGAUAAGUUUAUAAUCAAAAGCCGCAUCAAAGACCACCUGGAACAUGAAUCCUGGAAGAAAGAGACUUCCCAGAGAAGAAUGUGUAUUUCUUAUUUUCCCAUUGAAAACAAGUUUGAUGAUCAAAUAAUUUUCCAUGUUCCUUCAGCAACAAUUUGAAGCAAAUGCUCAAUUUUAUUGACUUCAUUUUAUGUAUUGUCUAGGUGCUGAUUGCUGAUGCUUGCAACAGUUCAUACACUUGCUGAUCUGGAAACAUGCUCCCAUACAUGCUUGUUGAUUUAGUGGAUCAUUUGAUAAAAGUCUCAGACUAUUUUUAGUUACUUUCGAAAAACUGGGAAUUGUGUAUUAGUGUGAAGCACGAUUUAGAUGUACACUUUGGCUUUUCUCAUAGAUUUUCUAGAAUGUCGGGACAUUCUUUUUCAUUGAGAAGAAUCA